rnacentral:lncRNA from 1 species
ACACACGGACAGAGACGGGAGAGGAGAGAGAGAUGAAGAGAUAGAGAGGAGGAGAGGGAAGGGAGGAUAGGCAGGAGAGAGCCAAAAAGAUAGAGAGUGAAAGGAAGAGAGAGAUAAGAGAGAAGGAAAGAUGAGAGGGAGGAAGAUGGAGAAAGUAGAAGAGCAGGAAACAACAGUUGGAGAGAGAGAAAGAAGGAGAGAGAGAAAGAGAGACACUGAGCCCUGGGGACAGAGGGAAGGACAGCUGGGCUGGAGGCAGGGGGCCUGGGAGCCUGGUCAAGUCAGUCCAUGAGGCUGCUCUGAGACGUCACUGGGGGCAGGGAGAGAGUUAUCCAGAACUUUAGUACAGUCUUCUUUCUAGAAAACAGUGCUACCAGAAAGGGCUUAUGUCCAGAUCUGAGGUGCACUUACUUGUUCCCGAAGAUCCAAAUCUAAGUUGCUUUUAGAUUCUACUCUGUGCUUCCACGGAGUCUACUCUAACGACCUUGGCCAGGUCUCUGGCCUCCAUCAAGGAACGACCAGAAUUCCUGGGUCUGGCCACAGGUUUUGGCCCCGCCUCAGAGGGUUGGGUGAGGGGGCUUAGCAGGUGUAGGAGAGCUUGCUCUGGGCAGUAGCUGUGGGCCUUACUUCUGUAUUUGCCGCAGUAUCUGAUUUGCCCUGUAGAGCAUUUAUGUCACUAGGUUUUUACAAAAGUUGCUUUUUGACUUAUUGCCUUAGUGACGAGUUGUCAGGUUUUUCUCUGUUUAAGUGGCUACAGCUGAAUAGCUCAGGCCAAACUUAAAGCUCACACUUGAGACUUGACGUGCUCAGCUCCUGCUAAAGAGGCUCCAGGGCAGCGCCUGCCUUUCCGGGAAGCUCCCCUGAGGGUCACCGAGGCUGCAGAGAACACCCGGUGAUGACUGCAUGGAUCUCCUUCAUCUGCUGGGAUUCAAGCUGUGUUGCUGGUGAGGCAAAGGGCCCCUUCUCUCCAGGUUCUAGCACAGCCUCACCACCAGGAGCUCCUUCCAGAAACGAUGGUGCUGGCAGCUCUGACUAAACAGUUAGGCCAAUAGGGAACUAGAGGAGCUGGGUUCAAACCUCUUUUCCAGUAUCUUGUUGGGCUGAGAGCCCUUGGAGGAAGGGUUUCAGUGUGAGUCUGGAGAAAAACAGAUCCAAACUCAGCGUCAUAAAAACAUGCGGUUGGAACACCUGUCCUUCAUCUGGCUUCAGGAGAGGGCUACAGGCUUGAAGAUGCUUCUCCACAACUCCGGAGAAAGCAGCAUUUGCCCUUUGUUUCUUUGGGAGCUGCCAGGGCAUGUCUUACAAGAAAUCCCUACUUCCACCCCUACUUCCACAGCUGACCCACCACAUAUGAUGUGUGUGUCAAAGAUGACCGUCAAUAGUUAGGACGUCAGCUGAGCCUGUGGCCUCCAUCGGGUGGGAGGUGGUCCUGGUGAAAAACAAUAGUCAAAUGGCCUCAACCAUUCCCUCUCUCCUCGGGAAAGCUGUGAUGAUGGUGGAGUAAAGGGGAGAUGCCUUUCCAGGCCCCAUGCAGUUGGUGUUUCUGUUCUUCAUGUCGCCAGCUGCAUUUCCAUUUUGGAAAGGCUGGGCUCCUCAGGUCACUCCUAGGUUCCCAUGUUUCAGUGAAUUCCGGGACGUGAACACUCAAUGCUGAAGGCAAUCUGUGCGUGCCAUUCUCUGGCAUUUUUUUUGUUAUUUUAUUAUUAUAUAUAUUUUUGGAGGCAAGGCCUUGCUCUGUUGUGCAGGCUGGAGUGCAGUGUGAUCAGGGCUCACCACAGCCUUGAACUCCUGGGCUCAAGAGAUCCUCCCACCUUAGCCUCUCAAGUAGCUGGAACCACAGGCAUGUACCACCACACUUGGCUAAUUUUUUCUUUUAAUUUUGUUUUUGUAGAGACAGGGUCUCACUAUAUUGCCCAGGAUGGUCUUGAACUCCUGAGCUCAAGCAAUCCUCCUGCCUUGACCUCACAAGGUGCUGGGAUUACAGGCGUGAGACUCUGUACCUGGCCAGGAAUCCUAUUAUGAAAUAAAAAAUUGAGAAAAGAAGAAGGAAACUGGGCGUCUCGGCCAGGACUGUGAGCUUCAGGAGCCAGGGGUGCACCUAAAGUGGCAUCUUCAUAUCCUCUCUGGAGGCUGAGCUCAAGGCCUCCAAGGGGGCAAAGGCCCCAGGGUGCUCAUCAAUCAAAACAUCAGUUGUGUGUUGGGAUAGACCUUCUAGAAUGUCAAGGAGUAAUUUGAAAGGACUGCAUUUCUCACCACGUCCCACCCCCCAAACCCCCAC